rnacentral:lncRNA from 1 species
UGUCCCAUCAGCAGCUCAUCACCCUGAUAGCUGAGCUGUCAUACUCAGAGCCUCACACUAUUCACAGCUCAGCUCCCCGUCUGACCGGCUUUGUUUCCACACACUCGUCUUUCUUGCUCCAAAGAAGUCAGUCAAAUCAGGCCGGUGGUGGCUGGUCCACUCCAGGAGUCUGAGGUGCGGGAGGUUCCUCCGCCCCCUCUGGACAUCAAGGGGGCCCCGGAGUAUGCUGUUCGAGCCAUACUGGACUCGAGGCGUCGGGCGAGGGGCCUUCAGUACCUUGUGGAGUGGGAGGGGUAUGGUCCGGAGGAGAGAUGCUGGGUGCCGGACGUUUUGGACCCUUUGUUGCUACGGGAGUUCCACUGUCUCCAUCCGGAUCGCCCUGCGCCUCGUCCUCCGGGUCGUCCCCGAGGUCGGUGUCAACGUGCUGCUGGAGCCGCAUGUCAAGGUUGGGGGGGGUACUGUCACGACUUCCGCCGAAGUCGGUCCCUCUCCUUGUUUGGGCGGUGUUCGGCGGUCAACGUCAUCGGCCUUCAAGCCAUCGCCGAUCCACUUUUCAUUUUCCAUUUGUUUUGUCUUUGUUUUACACACCUGGUUUCAAUUCCCCAAUUACAUGUUCAUUAUUUAACCCUCUGUUUUUACCAUGGUUUUUGUGCGUGAUUGUUUUAUGCAUGUUCGGUCCGUUAUUGUGGGCUCGGUAUUACGACAUGUUAUUGGAAUAUUUGAGUAAAG